GUUACACCUGGGAUUUAGGCGCUUUUAAUCUGAAAAAAAUACAUAUUCCUUGAGCACUCCAGAAGGAUUUAAGAACCACCCUUCCCUGAACUAAAGCUGGAUGUUGUGGGAUUGCAGAAUUAAGAUUGUCUUUGGUUUUGCUGCUGUUACAAAGGAGACAACAUGAAUUCUCCUACAGGCUCACCACUCUGCGGGUUCUGGGAGGGAGACAAAGACAUGUCAUAGCAUCUACUACUCUCAAGACACUCACAAUUGAAUAAGCUACCCAGGACACACGGCGUGCUUACCUGGCCAGAAAGUGAUGACUUUCCAAAUCGGAGCUCCAUGCUGUGGGAGUUUGAAGUGCAGAGGGUCUGACCUCCCACUCCAGAUGAACAAGUUGAAGCACUGAGAAGCAAAAUAAGUUCUCCAAGAUUACCCAGCCGCUAGAGGCACAGCCAACGUCAAGAAACUUCUCCGUGGAAGUCUUCGCGGCGCCCUGAGGCAGAUUCAGAAAGAAUCUAAGUUCCUUCCAUGAGAACAGGGACUGUCUGCCUCACUCGCCAU